rnacentral:rRNA from 1 species
CCUACGGGAGGCAGCAGUGGGGAAUAUUGCACAAUGGGCGCAAGCCUGAUGCAGCCAUGCCGCGUGUAUGAAGAAGGCCUUCGGGUUGUAAAGUACUUUCAGCGAGGAGGAAGGCAUUAAGGUUAAUAACCUUGGCGAUUGACGUUACUCGCACAAGAAGCACCGGCUAACUCCGUGCCAGCAGCCGCGGUAAUA